GACGAACGCUGGCGGCGUGCUUAACACAUGCAAGUCGAACGGAAAGGCCCUGCUUUUGUGGGGUGCUCGAGUGGCGAACGGGUGAGUAACCCGUGAGUAACCUGCCCUUGACUUUGGGAUAACUUCAGGAAACUGGUGCUAAUACCGGCUAGGUGCUCCUGCUGCAUGGUGGGGGUCGGAAAGUUUCGGCGGUUGGGGAUGGACUCGCGGCUUAUCAGCUUGUUGGUGGGGGAGUGGCUUACCCAGGCUUUGACGGGUAGCCGGCCUGAGAGGGUGACCGGCCACAUUGGGACUGAGAUACGGCGCAGACUCCUACGGGAGGCAGCAGGGGGGAAUAUGGCACAAUGGGCGGAAGCCUGAUGCGGCAACGCCGCGUGCGGGAUGACGGCCUUCGGGUUGUAAACCGCUUUCGCCUGUGACGAAGCGUGAGUGACGGUAAUGGGUAAAGAAGCACCGGCUAACUACGUG
rnacentral:rRNA from 1 species